rnacentral:lncRNA from 1 species
ACAGGAGCUGAAUGUGACCUACAGCUGGGCCACAUGUGGCAUCACCCCCGACACAAGGAGUGAGAGCCCCAGAGACCUCAUCUGACAUGUGGCAGGCUGUGAUGGCUGCCGAUAUAAAUGAGGCUGUGUGUGUCCAGGUCCUAUUAAUUCAUGUUAAAAAAUUAAGGAGGGCUGGGCAUGAUGGCUCACGCCUAUAAUUCCAGCACUUUGGGAGGCCGAGGCAGGAGGAUAACUUGAGCCCAGGAGUUUGAGACCAGCCCUGGCAACAUAGCAAGAUCCCUGCCUCUAAAAAAAUUAAAAAAAAAAAAAAAUAGCGCUUGGUGGCAUGCACUUAUAGUCCCAGCUGCUUGGGAGGCUGAGGUGGGAGGAUCACUUGAACCUAGGAGGUUGAGGCUGCAGUGAGCUCACUGCACUCCAGCCUGGGCUACAGAGCAAGACUCUGUCUCAGAAACAAAACAAAAUGAAAAAAUUAAGGAGGCAGCUGGCCAUGUAGUUGUGUAGACAACACAUUCUUCAUGUCUCAGGAACCGGGCAGCAGAAUUUUUGCUGUUGCAGGAAUCUUCCCACCUGUUCUUCUGUGGUCAUUUCUGCUCCAUUCUCCAUUGCCCUCUGGCACACUGAGAAACCCUUUGACAUGGAGACAUUCAGAGGCAAAGUUUGGAAAAUAGGACUCUAGGACCUCCAUACAAGGGUGAGAGAAUUUAAUUCAGGUUAGAAAUGUCGGGAUUUGAGGUCCACUGGAUUUCUAUAGCUGCCCAUAUGUCCCCCAACCUCUCUGAGUCUAUGCAUUUCCAUCUAUAAGCAGGUGGGGUGACGAUGGCCAGAUAAUCUCCAAGAGCCCCUCUCUGAUGUUCUACACCAUCUUGGAAACUUUUCUUUUUCUUUUGAGACAGGGUCUUGCUGUGUUUCCCAGUUUUGCCUUGAACUCCUGGGCUCAAGCCAUACUCUUACCUUGGCCUCCCGAAGUGCUGGGAUUACAGGCAUGAGCCACCAUCUUGGAAUCUAAGAGGAUGGGAGCUGCUAACCCAGGAAUGGCAGGGAACUCAUCCUCAUCCAGACUGAGACAUCAGACCCUCCAAACUUCAAGUUUCCACAGCACUGAAGCUCUGAUUAGGAAAAGCCAUGGCUUUCUGGCCAGGAUAACCAUGUCGUGUCACCUGGGUAGCUUAUUCAAUUGUGAGUGUUUAAAGAGCAGUACAGGCAUGACUCAUCUUCGUCUCCCUCACAGCACCAGUUGUGUGGUGAGCCUGUAGGAGAAUUCGUGCUGUCUCCUUUGUAGUGAAAACAAAACCAAAGACAAUCUAUAAGAUACCAGCAAGGGAGGAGUUAAUGUAAAUCAUGAUCCAGCUGUAAGCAUUAGCCAUUCCAUUCAUGGUGGAGAUCUAUCCUUAAUAACACAGAGAGAUGUCUACCACAUAUUUCCAAAGGGAUACAUUAAUUUCAGGACCACACGAAUGGUCCUGUGAGGCCAUGUGUACCUACAAACAAUCCACAAAUAAGUAAGGCCAUAGUUGGUGACACAUGUUAUGCAAGGGUAGGUUCACAAACCCAACCUCACUUAUUCUUGAGCAACACUAAGGUAUUUAUGGCAGAGAAUGGUUACCAUCCUCGCCCCCUUUUUUUUUUUUUGAGACAGGGUCUUGGUCUGUUGCCCAGGCUGGAGUGCAAUGGUGUGAUCUUGGUUCACCGCAAUCUCCACCUCCCAGAUUCUGGUGAUCCUCCUAUUCAGUCUCUUAAGUAGCUGAGACCACAGGCAUGUGCCACCACACGUGGCUAAUUUUUGUAUUUUUUAUAGAGACAGGGUUUCGCUAUGUUGCCCAGGCUGAUCUCCAACUCCUGAGAUGAAGCAAUCCUCCCACCUUGGCUUCCCAAAGACCAUCCCCCUUCUAAAGCUCGUCUAGAACUUAUCCCUGGCAAGUGAAAUGAUUGUAGCCUACUUCCAGAAGACGUGUUUAAGAAGUGGUGUGCCUUCUCUCCUGUCCUUCAUCUCCGCUGCCAGUUGGAGUAACUUCAAGGUCCCAGGGAUGGCAGAACAACAACAUGGAAGAGACCUGGGUCUCUAGAUCACAGAAUGAAGAAAAGCCACCUAAUGACCAGGAAAACCCUUCUCAAACCUUUUUUUUUUUUUUUUUUUGAGACAAAGUCUUGCUCAGUCACCAGGCUGG